AUGGCAAUGGUAAUGGUGGCUUCAAGUCGUCGGCGAACGCCGCUGCCAGAGGCCGGCAGGGAGGCAACAAGGGCGGCUACAACCGAAACCAGAAAGGUGGUGGUGGCGGAGCUCACAACGGCGGCUACAACGGUGCCUGUGGCAGCGGCUACCAAGGCGGUGGCGGCGACUACACCGGCGCUGGUGGCGGCGGCUACCAACAGAAUCAUGGUGGCGGAUACCAAGGGGGUGGUGGUGGCGGCGGCUAUCAUCACCCCAAUUCCAGCGGCAGCAACAACUAGCGGCGACCCCCCUCCAACAACAACAACAGGGGGCGCAAUUUUCAGGGGUAUUAGGGCUACGAAGGCAAGUGCCAAAUAUGUAAGAAAACCAAUCAUAUUGCAAAAGAUUGUGAUUGGCGUUAUGCCGAUGACAAUUCCCCAAAAAAGAAACUUGUAG
rnacentral:rRNA from 1 species